UACGUUAGGGUGCGAGCGUUGUCCGGAAAUUACUGGGCGUAAAGAGCUCGUAGGCGGCCUGUUGCGUCCGCUGUGAAAGCCCGGGGCUUAACCCCGGGUCUGCAGUGGAUACGGGCAGGCUAGAGGUAGGUAGGGGAGAAUGGAAUUCCCGGUGAUAGCGGUGAAAUGCGCAGAGUAUCGGGAGGAACACCGGUGGCGAAGGCGGUUCUCUGGGCCUUACC
rnacentral:rRNA from 1 species